UACGGGGGGGGCAAGCGUUGUUCGGAAUUACUGGGCGUAAAGGGCUCGUAGGUGGCCAACUAAGUCAGACGUGAAAUCCCUCAGCUUAACUGGGGAACUGCGUCUGAUACUGGAUGGCUUGAGUUUGGGAGAGGGAUGCGGAAUUCCAGGUGUAGCGGUGAAAUGCGUAGAUAUCUGGAGGAACACCGGUGGCGAAGGCGGCAUCCUGGACCGAGAUUGACGCUGAUGCGCGAAAGCCAGGGGAGCAAACGGGG
rnacentral:rRNA from 1 species